GAUAAAGGGCUUUAUGGUUGUAGUUCAAGCGGAUGUAAUGACAAAGAAUGCUACUGAUGAGUGGUUUACUUAAGGCUCAGAAACUCCACGAUCACCUGAGGCUGCAACAAAAGUUUUAUUUCAAACAAUUACUAGUUCUCUGGCUUCAUUACAUUGUAGCACAUGUUGCUAUAUCACAAUCUAACAUGACCAAGUAAAAU
rnacentral:lncRNA from 1 species